GAAAAUAAACGUGUUAGUGUUCUGCACCAAACCGAGCAGAUAUAACAUGGAGUGGCAAGGACUAAUUGGAUUUAUCCUGCUGUUAAAUCAGUCGAUCAAAGCUGAACAAUUUACUCUAAGCAGUGACUCAACCCCAUGGCUUUUAUCAUUUUGCGAUCUUGCGGAACCAAGGCUUGCGUACAAGAAUGCACAUUUUGAGGUUGAAGAAGAAAUUGAUGUUUUAUCAAACAAUGCGGAAGCUUGGUUAGGAUUCGUCUCGUUGAAAGUUGUUUUGUUGUGUAUAUGUGUGUGUAUGUUGUCUAGUACGUUUUUUCGUGUCACACUGUUUAAAAAUUGGCCCUUUGCUAUUAUUAAGGGAUCAACUGCAAUUAAUAAGGCUCUCCCCUGAUGGAACAUUUGUAUUAUGUUUAUAUAAGAUGGAUUCAAAUGAAUGGAAGAUAUGUUAGUUGGUAGCUUUGUUUCCUACCUGUGGUGUCUAUUAUCUCAAAACAGUAAAAAGGUUAAUAUAUCAUUUUAUCUGCAGUGAUUUAACUUAGAUUGUAAAUGCUUGUAAAUAGUGUUGAAUGUAAAUAGACACUAUAUUUAAAACUAUCAAUACAGUAUUUUUUAAACGAA